ensembl:lncRNA
GGCCUCUUUCUGAUCCAACAUUUUUUCUUCUUCUCUAGAGACCACAGGAUUUGAACUAUGAGCAGACCUUUUCCAAUUCCUCUCCUUGUGUUAAAUCAAACAAACAAACGCUCCUGGUGACUUGUGGAGAUUCACCUACUGCAUGCCUACCAUUAGACUUCUACUGAUAUACAGAAUGUGGAGAUGUGGAAAUUGCUCCGUCUUUGAAGUUAAGAUUCAAUGUAUAUUAACGCUCUGUUUUCUGUCACAGCAAGAAAUUGCCACUGGCAGGAUGCCUCAUUGGAAGUGAAAUCUCAACACAGGAGCAAAAGCAUCAAGCUCCAUUUCCACAGAGCAAGGCACAAGAAAAAGGAGGGUGUAGUGUAUUUUUCAGACAUCAGUCUGGUUUUAAUAGAGUCCAGAAACAUUUCUUCCAGGUAG